UGGGAGGGAUACUGAGGCUACUGGGAGGGUUACUGGGGGCACUGGGGGGCACUGGGGAUACUGGGAGCGGCAUUGGGAAGGGCAUUGGGGAUGCUGGGAGGCACUGGGAGGAGCUGGGGAUGCUGGGAGGGGCAUCGGGGUUACUGGGAAUAUUGGGGAAUACCGGGGGGGCACUGGGGGUACUGGGAGGCACUAGGGGGAUACUGGGAGGUACUGGGAAGUGCUGGGAAGUACUGGGAAGUGCUGGGAGGGGUGCUGGGAGGCACUGGGAAGACACUGGGGGAGCACUGGGCAUACUGGUGGCAUACUGGUGCCUUACUGGUGUUACUGGUUCCCAGGCUACGUGCGGGUGCUGCUGGCGGCCGCCGCCUUCGUGCUGAUGCCGCAGGAGCCGGGCCCGGCGGCCGCCUGUUACCUGCUCAGCGCCCUCCUGGACGCCGUGGACGGGCUGGCGGCCAGGAUGCUGGGGCAGGGUGGGCGGGGCCUGGGGGUGGGCGGGGCCUGGGGUGGGCGGGGCGUGUGAAGUGGGCGGGGCUUCGUGGGAGGGGGCGGGGCCUCCAUGGGGGGCUCUGGGUCCUGCCCUAGAUGGGGCUGCUGGGCUGGAGUGGGCGUGGCCUAGAGGUGGUGGGCGUGUCUUAGGGUGGGCGUGGCCUCUUGGGGGCGGGGCUUCACCCCUCUAUUGCACGGAGCACCCAAACCCGUGGCUCCCCUCCCCCUCCUGGAGGCCCCUCCCCCUCCUACAAGCCCCGCCCCCUUCCCGGAGGCCCCGCCCCCUCCAAUAAGCCCCACCCCCUUCUAUAAGCUCCUCCCAUUCCUGGAGCCUCCUCCCCCUCUUGGACUCCCCUCCCCCUUCUAUAAGCCCCUCCCCAUCCUGGGAGGCCCCGCCCCCUUCGCGGAUGCCCCGCCCCCUCCCCACAAGCCCCGCCCCCCCAGGUUCCCAGCUGGGCGCCAUGCUGGACAUGCUGCCCCUCCCCCUCCUGGAGUCCCCUCCCCCUUCUAUAAGCCCCUCCCCCUCUGACAAGCCCCGCCCCCUUU
rnacentral:lncRNA from 1 species